UCGACCUCAGAUCAGGAGA
rnacentral:rRNA from 1 species